GCGGUAAUACGUAGGGUCCAAGCGUUAAUCGGAAUUACUGGGCGUAAAGCGUGCGCAGGCGGUUGUGCAAGACCGAUGUGAAAUCCCCGAGCUUAACUUGGGAAUUGCAUUGGUGACUGCACGGCUAGAGUGUGUCAGAGGGGGGUAGAAUUCCACGUGUAGCAGUGAAAUGCGUAGAGAUGUGGAGGAAUACCGAUGGCGAAGGCAGCCCCCUGGGAUAACACUGACGCUCAUGCACGAAAGCGUGGGGAGCAAACAGGAUU
rnacentral:rRNA from 1 species